rnacentral:misc_RNA from 1 species
UUCUUUACAAUAUGCAAAUAAAAGCUAUCUAAAUAAAGAAACUGCACGAUGUAGACUUCAACGGAUUCAUAUAUAUUACAGUUAGAACAGAAGCUAUCAGCAUACGGACUCGAGGCACGGAUUUCAUGCUUUAAUAUAGUGCAUUUCUUAUUUGUUUUUCUCAGUAACCAUAAAAACAAUAGCACUAGUCAUAUUUACUUGAAAUAUCGGUUAAUAAUGGUAUCUUCUGUAUCCAGUCCCUUCGACCUUGAGAAAUAUUCUUGAGUCUGUCGUACACUUCCAG